rnacentral:lncRNA from 1 species
UGCCUUUGUAGAGCAGGUAUAGGAUUCAGUUUUUUUUAUGAACCAAAUGAACCUAGUAUACUGAUUGUUUUGUGCAUGUCUCUUUCAGUUGUGGCCAUGCUGUUAUGUAUCGUAUUGUCAUCAGAAGAAUCUGAUGUGCUGCAAUGCACAGGGGAGAAACUGAGUGAUGGACAGUUCUACUUUAAUAUGCCGUAUGAAGUUAAGGAGGACAUCUAUGACUGCGAGACCCAAUGGCUUGUUGAUGAGAAAGUGGCAGGGAUUUCUGAUACUGAAGGGAAAAUUACGUUCAUAUUCCCAAUUGAAAAUUUGACAGUGAAUGCAGCCAUCUUACAGACGUGCCCUGAAAGACUUGAAUGCCUGCUCAUCUGCCCCAGCGCCAAUGUAAGUGUAAUAUUGUUGAUGUGUUUUAGCUUUUAUGUAUCGCUAGGUAUUUAAUUAAUUUAAUAGCAUAACCAAAUGGACAUUGAUUUGCUUCAUGCUUUCAUUAUGGACUCUCUUUUUAUUUCUUGUGUAGAUCAAUGAAAAGCAGCAGUGCUCUUGUAAGUAAUUCACUUACUACUAUAUACUCAUUUGACUGACUAGAUCAUCUUUAUAAACAUGCCUGCGUAUCUUGACAGUAGAAUACUUACUACCUGGUUAAGAAUUUGCAAUAUAAGAGUCUACAAUACAAGUAUACAAAAAUAUAUAUUUUUAAAUGUUUACCCAUAAAUGUUGAAGUAGGUGUCUUCAAUACACUCAGUUUAGGGCAUAGCAAUAUAAAUUGAUUAAGAACAAAACACUAGAGAUCUUUUAUUUGCCUAGUAUGCACAAUGAAUGAGAUUAUUGUGUUGCAGGUGAUGCAUAUCCUCUGACUACACUUCCUGAAGGUAAGUUCAGCUGCUUAUACUACAGCGCUAAUUAAGCUCUCAAAUAAAAUAAAGUUUUGCCACUCUGCCACUCUUUUCUGUUGGCAAAAUAGGCUUUUUGUAGGAUCUUUAGCAUAGCAACAAUUUGAACAUACCACCACCUUUAACUCAUAAUGGAAUGCAACAGUGACUGCCUGCUUUUCAAUAACUUUGCAAAUAUUUUUCCCAUUCAUUAUCAUCAUAAGGAUUUGUGAAAAAUCUGCAAAAGUGCAAAGGUUUUAGCAAAGUAGUUUACGAGUGUAGAUAGACUUACUUGAUUACACAUCUUCCAGUGAUUCAUAGCAAUAGACUGUCACUGCUGUGGUCAUUUGGAAAAUGUUUUUUUCCAUAGGAAGAACUUGUGGGUAGUGUGGUUUUUCACUGGAAUUUCAUCUCUGUUAAACUUUUCCUUUUUUAAAUCACACUCUAAAAUUACUUGUAUCUUCUACAGAAGCAUAUAUCAUUACUUUACAAUCACAGAUAUAUUGAUGUUAAAAUCAGUUUCUCUAUAUGGAAAAUCAAUGCAAUUUUUUUUCUUAAAACGAUAGUUCACCCAAAAUUGAAAAUUGUUAACACUGACUCACCGUUAAAUCAUUCCAAAUCUGUAUGACUUUUUCUUCAGUGGAACUUAAAAGAAGAUGUUCUGAACAAUGUCUCUUUUUUUUGUCAAUACAAUGAAAGUCAGCAGGAUCUAAUGUUGUUUGGACCCUAAUGUUCUUCAAAAUAUGUCCUUUCAUAUUCCUCUGAAGUAAGAAAGUCAUACAACUUUGGAACAACAUGAUGACAAAGUGCAUAAGAAAAGUUUGAUGUCAUUAAUUUUGCCUAUAAUUUUGUCUUGUUAAAUGAUGCAGUUCAUUGUGUUUGUAGGUAGCUAUAUACACCUUUCUGUUGUGCUUUUUUUACGUUUGUUUGUUUCUUUGUUUCCUAGUGGGUUUUUCUAGCUGGAGCGUUUAUAUUUGGACUGGAGUAAGUGUGCUUGCAGUGUUGGUGAUUGUCAUUGUCAUCAUUGUGCUUUAUUGGAAAAGACAAAGGUGAGGUCCUCUUAAAAGCUGCCACGAACAAGCUAAGCACAUGGCUUUGUGUUAUAUUUGUCUUUUAAUAUCUGUGUAAUUUUGUACUUAUAGGUCAGGAUAUGUUCUUAGUGAUCAAGGUUCUGCUGAAAAGAUUGUUUGAUUGUGGUAUGUAACAUCAUUGGUAUUUUAUAAAAUACUGCUGUUAUGAUGUAAAAUAGUUCAAAUCAUUAUC